GUUUUAAUAGUUUAAUAAAAACAUUGGUCUUGUAAACCAAAAAUAAGGCUAUGUCUUUUAAAACU
rnacentral:tRNA from 1 species